rnacentral:rRNA from 1 species
UACAGAGGUGGCAAGCGUUGUUCGGAAUUACUGGGCGUAAAGGGCGCGUAGGCGGCCUUCUAAGUCAGACGUGAAAUCCCCCGGCUUAACCUGGGAACUGCGUCUGAUACUGGGAGGCUUGAGUAUGGGAGAGGGAUGUAGAAUUCCAGGUGUAGCGGUGAAAUGCGUAGAUAUCAGGAGGAACACCGAUGGCGAAGGCAGGUCUCUGGGCUGAAACUGACGCUCAUGCACGAAAGCGUGGGGAGCAAACAGG